AUCAAACUCAGAUGUUGAGCGUGAAGGAUAACGUUGCGUCAGCAACGGCCCGAAGGGCGAGGCGAAGCCGAGUCAUCCUGCACGACCCACCA
rnacentral:sRNA from 1 species